rnacentral:rRNA from 1 species
UACGAAGGGGGCUAGCGUUACUCGGAUUGACUGGGCGUAAAGGGCGCGUAGGCGGUUUGUACAGUCAGACGUGAAAUUCCUGGGCUCAACCUGGGGGCUGCGUUUGAUACGUGCGGACUUGAGUUCGGAAGAGGGUCGUGGAAUUCCCAGUGUAGAGGUGAAAUGCGCAGAUAUCAGGAGGAACACCGGUGGCGAAGGCGGGUCUCUGGGCCGAUACUGACGCUGGAGGAGCGAAAGCGUGGGGAGCGAACAGGA